rnacentral:rRNA from 1 species
UACGUAGGGGGCUAGCGUUGCUCGGAAUUACUGGGCGUAAAGGGCGCGUAGGCGGAUAGUUAAGUCAGAGGUGAAAGCCCAGGGCUCAACCCUGGAAUUGCCUUUGAUACUGGCUAUCUUGAGUAUGGGAGAGGUGAGUGGAACUCCGAGUGUAGAGGUGAAAUUCGUAGAUAUUCGGAAGAACACCAGUGGCGAAGGCGACUCACUGGCCCAUUACUGACGCUGAGGCGCGAAAGCGUGGGGAGCAAACAGG